rnacentral:rRNA from 1 species
UACGUAGGUGGCGAGCGUUAUCCGGAAUGAUUGGGCGUAAAGGGUGCGUAGGCGGCCUGCUAAGUCUGGAGUGAAAGGUACCGGCUCAACCGGUACAGGCUCUGGAAACUGGCGGGCUAGAGAGCAGGAGAGGGCGGUGGAACUCCAUGUGUAGCGGUAAAAUGCGUAGAUAUACGGAAGAACACCAGUGGCGAAGGCGGCCGCCUGGCCUGUUGACUGACGCUGAGGCACGAAAGCGUGGGGAGCAAAUAGG